rnacentral:rRNA from 1 species
CGAUUAUAAAGUUAGUGGCGGACGGGUGAGUAACGCGUGAAUAACCUGCCCUGUACCGGGGGACGAACAGUUGGAAACGGCUGCUAAUACCGCAUAAGCGCACGGUUCCGCAUGGAACAGUGUGAAAAACUCCGGUGGUACAGGAUGGAUUCGCGUCUGAUUAGCCAGUUGGUGGGGUAACGGCCUACCAAAGCAACGAUCAGUAGCCGGCCUGAGAGGGUGAACGGCCACAUUGGGACUGAGACACGGCCCAAACUCCUACGGGAGGCAGCAUG